rnacentral:tRNA from 2 species
AUAAGAUUAAGUUAAGUUAGACUAUAUGUUUUCAAAACAUAAAGUGGUUGUUUCGGCUAUCUUAUG